UACGUAGGGUGCAAGCGUUGUCCGGAAUUAUUGGGCGUAAAGAGCUCGUAGGCGGUUUGUCGCGUCGGCUGUGAAAUCCCGAGGCUCAACCUCGGGCCUGCAGUCGAUACGGGCAAACUAGAGUGUGGUAGGGGAGACUGGAAUUCCUGGUGUAGCGGUGAAAUGCGCAGAUAUCAGGAGGAACACCGGUGGCGAAGGCGGGUCUCUGGGCCAUAACUGACGCUGAGGAGCGAAAGCGUGGGGAGCGAACAGG
rnacentral:rRNA from 1 species